AGCGGCGGUUCGAGCCGGGACUACCAGCGGGGCGGGGCCGGGACGCCCAGCGGGGCGGGGCCGGGACGCCCAACGGGGCGGGGCCGGGACUUCCGGGCAGGAGGAGCCAGGACAACAGCAGGGCGGGGCCAGGACCUCUUGCCUGGAGGGGUCAGGACCUCCACACCGGCGAGGCCAGGACUUCCGGCUGGGCGUGGUCGGAGCCGAGAGCCCCCGGUUGGGCGGGACGAAGGCUAAUGGUACAGACGUGAGACUGGAGAGGGUUUACAGUACUUACCGUGUCGAGAGAAGUGGGGCAAAGGCCAGGAAGUUUUCUUGGACUUUUAAGCAAAUGCCGAAGACGGCAGCAAAUAGAGCCACCGGCAAGUCCUUUCAGGGGUCCAGCCCAUACAUGUGUUAUAGCUAACCCCAGGACAGCUGAUUCUGCUGGUAUUAUCUGCAUUGUACAGGUGAGAACAGAAGCCAUCACAAGCCACCCUGCUCAAAUCCCAAGAGUCAUCAGAGACAUAAUCCGUUGCUAUGAGAAAGGCGGGAAGCAAUUCAGAAGCCCAGGGGAUUGCUGACCAGCCUUCACAUGUACUGGACACGUGUGAUGGGGGCCUCCUCCGCAGGAAAGGCGGCAGGAUAUGUGAGCACACAUUCAGAGAAUGUGGAAUUUUAGAGCAGAGAGCCUGCGUGAGAUUCUCUCCCUUGUUAGAGCUGGGGAAACUGAAGCCCUCGCAGACCAGUCACAGGUUUUCCUUCUUGCUCUUGCAUUGCACACUGCCCAGGAGCAGGCCAGAAUUCUGUGCUCAGAUUCGGCUCCUCCCAUGUGUUCCGGGUAGAGAAGCCAGCACCUCUACCAAGAGGACUGUGUUUUCAGUUCUGGGAUUCUGUCUUCCUGGGAGAUAACUAGAAGCAACCCACUUGAACAUCCCGUUAAAACCUUUGUGAUCACAAUCGCCAUUGCCCUAGAGGAGGCCCUCCCUGCUGAACCAUUAUAACAGUGCAGUGAGGAGGGGCAGGUUACAUCCCACGUUACAGUUGGGAAAUGCUGGGCUCAGAGAGGCAUAGUGACCUGCCCAGUGCUACCCAGCUAGGAAGGGGCAGCAGGAAGCUCUCACCUCAUUCUCUGAUUCCAAACCAUGUGCUUCCCCUGCUCCCAAAUGUGUGUUUGUUUGAAGGGAGGGUGGACAGAGGGAGAAGUAACAGACAUCGAUUACCUACUCUGUGCCCAGGAUUGUA